GUCCUCAGUCGAGUCACAUUGGGACUCUCUUGCGACCCCCACCGGCCGGCCCGGUUGGGGCCGCUUGUUUACCAUCACCGCGUGUUUACAUCGUCCGGGCAUCACAACAAUCCCAUAGUUCCGAGAACAGUGAAGUUUUAGCGUAAAAUAAAUCAUCAAAGUGUUCAGUUGGUUUCUGUCAACGCCGAGGGACUUGCAAAAUAAUGUCUCUGCUGGCUGCAUCAUUCGAAUCCAACAGCAUGGAAGGUGCCACGAAUACGAGGAACUGAGGAAGAAAAAGAAGCCAGAAGCAGCUGCUAGUUGGGCCACGAUAAGCAUUCAAGAGAUGACAACAAAGUGGAGAAAUUCACAUUUCAGUGCACAACAAAUUACUCCUUGAUUGAACUCCAUCGAGGAUUAUUGAAAUUAAGGGCAUUUUAGAAGACUUGAAGACUGAUUUCAUUAUUUGAGACUAUUUGGCGCAUAAUUAGGUAUAGAAAAGUCAUCGGCAAUCAACGUCAUCACUUGUCAUCACAUACACAGGAGCAAAAUGUACUGGAGGACACUAAAUUACCAGGACAAUUAUCAAUAAUAAUUGAGAAUGUUGGAAACGUUCAAUUUUUCGAAGACAAUCGCCGCUGUGAGAUCAUUCGUCAGAGCAUAUGGAGCAUACUUUCAAUAAACAAUGUCAAGAAUACAAUAUAUUGUAAGGGAAAUGGUCUCAUCCAACGAACUGCUGUUUCAUGAAAGUUAUCCGAUGAGUAUUUAUUACUCACAUAAUCCAGAAAAAUCAAUAGCCGGAGCGGGACUAAUAUCGUCAUAUUUCCAUCUGGCGUAGAUAACAAUAGCAGAGAUCAGAGACGAAGUGGCAGUAAAUUUUGAUAUCUGUUAAUGUAUAAAAACUAAAAAAAAAUGAAGACCAACCCAGCUGCAAAUAGAGAUGCUAAACAUCAGAUAAACGACGAAGAGGUGGAACAAUUCACGUUCCGGAGAACAACAAAUUAAUCCUUGUUUGAAAUACAUCGGGGGUCUAUUGAAAGUAAGGGCAUUUUUGAAAACUUGAAGACUGAUUUUAUAAUUUGAAAAAAAGUUGGGGGAUAGUCGGUGGUCUAAGAAUUGGUCAGCCAACCAAUGCCUUCACUAGCCAUCAUAGACCUUGAAUAAUCACUGGAGAUACCGAGCAACUACAGUGGAGAAGACCGAAUUGAAACUGACAAUUGUUAGUAAAUAUAUAAUUUGAAAACGUCAGCGUUUGAUCUUUCGAAGAAAUCCAUCGCUGUGACAUCGUCCAUAGAAGUACAUCAAAUUUACUUUCAGCAAAUACAAUAUCAGGAAUUCAAUGCAUCGGAAUUCAAACAGUCUCAUUCAACAAAUUGCUGCCGCAGGGAAUAUAUCCGAUGAGAAUAUAUAAUCCCUUCGGAAUCCGGGCGAAUCAAUAGCUGAAAAGGAACUAAUGUCACCAUAUUUCUUACUGAAGUACAUCAAAUAUCAGAGUUCAGCGAUCAAAAGCAGUAUCGGAAGCAGUGGAUUUUUCAUCCUAUGGAAAUUUACAUAAACUCAUAAACAAAACGAAAUGAAAAGCACUUGUGAGUGGAAAUGCUGAUAAUUAAAGAGAUUGCAACGAAUGCGAGCGAUUCAUUCUACUGAGGACAAUAAAUUAAUCGUUGGUAGAAAUGAAUCGGGGGAUUAUUGAAAUUUAAAGCAUUUUUGGAAACCGUGAUGAGCAAUUUCGUAAUUUGGGGGAAUUCAAGGGAGAAUUUCUGCAUCUACGAAGGGUCAAGCGGUCGAUGUCUUUGUUCGUUAUCUCAUACACUGGAGAACGCCAAAUUAAGGUGAUAAUCGCCGAUACAAAAUAUCUUCGAGAGGGGCAUUCGUGGGGAAAUUAGAGCAUCAAUUUUACUCAAAAUCACCAGGAGCUCAUAGGAGUACAUCGAACCUCUUUUGUAUAAACACAACAUCUGGAAUUCAAUGGGUCAGACAUUGAAUCUCGGGAAUAGUUAAUCCCCUUGGAAUCCGAGGAAAUCAAUAGCUGGGGAAAGACCAAUCCCACACCUCUCACGGAAACAGAUAUAAUAAUAGAGUUUAGAAUCACAGGACAUCACAGGUGACAACAGCAGAAGAUCCUUCAUGGUGUGGUAAAAUACAGAAUCCAAACGAUUGUUCGUAGUACAAAAUAUUGUGCCGUGAUCAGAGGAAUUACUCUUUUUUUUAGUUAUUUUUUUAUAAUUUUCUUUUUCAUUUCGUUUUUUUUUUUAUUUUUUUUUUAUUUUCAUUUUUAUUUUUUGGGUAGCCUGUUUGGAGUCGUGAAGCACAGUAAUAGUCUAUUGGGAAGUUUCCACUGAGACUAAAUUGGAAAAGUGGAAGAUGAAAAUGGAUUUUUCAAUUUAAUUUUUUCGGUCAGUUUCACAAAGCGACUCUGAAAUAGGAUUCUACUCAGUUAAAAGUUCCUUUUAUUUUUAUUUUGAGUUUCAUUAUUUUUUUUUAUUGAAAAACAUAACAAAAAAAAUCUAAAAAAAAAAAUACAAGAAAUAAAAAAUGCGAUAGUGUAAAGUAGUAGUUUAACGAGGACUUUGGAGCGAAAAAUCAACAAUUAAUUGAGAAAAAAAAACAUUGGCCUUUAAAUUUUCGAUCCGUACCGCGGAAUUAUGUCGGUUGUUGGUGAAUUUAUACUGUUUAUUAACUAAUUAAUUUUAACGAAAAACAUUGUUAUGUAGUUUGAGUAGGAAAAGGGUUGUUGAGGUGAAUGCGCUCGAGUCUCGAGACACACAUAGAAGAAAUUUUUUUGACAGAAAUUCCGUUAACGUGUAUUAAACGUACAUGAAGUCUUUUUCUAGCUGAGAAUAAUUUUUUUCUACAUUCUUGCAAAAUUUCUCAUCUGCCUCAAGAUCCGAGCAUACCUCGUCUAUCCCUCAUUAUUAUUUUUCUGUUAUUUUUAAACAUUUGUUUUCCGUUCAGUCCGUUCAUUCGUAAAAUGGCCUGUUAUUUCUCGUUUUAUUUUUUUUUUAUCCUGAAAGUGACAUUGAACAAAAACUAUGACAGAUUUCACAGAAAAUCAAAGAGCCCUCAUGGAAUGAAAAGACCAGUUAAUUGGCAUUUCAUCUUUGCUGCUGGCAGCAAGACAUCAAUGUGGAAAAUCCAUUUGGACUAAAGUGGAUGGCAGGAAAAUUUUCAACCCAAUAAGCAUUGUUUUUACAGUAAAAAUCUGUCAUGGUUUUGUUCUCGUCUCAUUACAAAUUUCUUUUAGUUUUUCUUUUUGGUUCGAUCGAGUUUUUGAUCAUUAGAAUAUGGAUGAUAAACCCGGUGAAUUAGAGGACCAAUGACGUCUCUACGAUGUUUUUAAUAAACAAAGUCGAUCGUGCUUUUAGUUUUCCACUCUGAAAAAUUCGCCAUUAACGUAAAAAACGAAAUUUUAAAACAGUAGGUCAUUAAACAGAUAAAAUAAUUGUUUCUUCCCACAUAUACAUACUUUUCAACAAAUGAAUACAUUCGUAGCAACAAUUUUUUCAUCUCUAUAUCCUUGCUGUUGUAAUUAUUUUAAAAAAUCAUGUUGAUGGUGAAGUUUUUCAUGCGUGGAUUUCAGUUUAUUCGAUAAGUUAGCGCGUGUCCGGUUUGAUUUUCGUGUGUGAAAAAAAAAAAACGUCCGUAUAAUCUGUUGUUUCGCGCUUUUCGUGUUUUUUUUUAAUCGCGUGUCGCUUUGUAGAAUCUGCGUAACAAUAAUUCGUGUGCGUUUUUCCUUUUAUGUUUUCAUUACAUUACGUUUCGCGUUAUUUUUUGAAUACUGUUCAAAAUAAUCCGAAGUUUUCCAUUUUAAUUAAUCAAGUAGAUUAGGUUGGAUAAGGCCGGUCUUGAUAGGGUACUUCCGUAAAUUAGGAUAAUGUGGAAAGCUCACUUUGAAGUCUUACAUUAACAUCAGUUUUCUUUUAUUUUUAUCUUCCCGUUAACGUCUUGUUAAUUGUUUUAUUAAGUUUCCAAUUAUGAUUUCAUUGCGUUGAAGAACAAUCACUGAUGGUUUUAAACUCCGAUUUUGUUGAAUUUUUAAACAUCGGGAGUAUUUUGUUACGAUAUUACGUUUAACAUUACUAUCAGUAAUUUUCAGUUGUCUGACGGUGAUGCAUAUCCUUUUUAACUCUAUUCUUGUUAAAUUAUAAAUAGUUCAGUUAAAUUACCCUGCGUUUACGUAUCAAUUUCGUUUCGUGUUACAAUUAGUUCGUACGUGUUCAUGUUUUUCCUUAUUUCGAUCGUUAUGUUUGUGUUUGACGAUAAAUGAUGAAUUGUUCUUUUCUUGUUCACGUUGGCAGUAUGUUUUCAUUAUCGAUGCUGUUUCUAUUGCACCAAUUUUUUCAUUUUUACCGGAUGGAAUUCCACCAGUUGAUGAAUCUCGUUAUUUCCUUUAUUACCUGACACUAUUUUUUCCCCCAUUGUUCUAUUCCAUUCGUGAUAAUUUUUCGUUACUGUUAAUUGUUCAUUAAGUGAAUUAUUGCAGGUGAUUUUUUUCUUCCCAGUGUUGAUGUUUCUUUUUUAUUUCAGUCCUUUUACGUUGAUGGUUAAGUUUAAUUGUUGAUGCAAAUUGUUUGAAAAACACUGCCAUAUAAUCUAGGAGACCAUCGAAAUCUAGGCCAGACUGGGUGUAACACUCGGGGGUUGAAUGACUGAGAUCGAAUGAAAAAGAUUCAAUAAUUGCUUUAUUUUGGAGUAUUCUUGGAGUUGUUAUUGCAUCUAUCAAUACUACAUUCCAUUCAAUCAUUGAAUAAUAUUGGUCUGUUCACCCUGGCUGGAAAAAAAAUCAUAAGAAGAAAUUGAAACACGGAGAGAAAAAAUUUAGUAGAGAUUAUCUAACUGUUUGAUAAUCGUGUUGUGUUUUGACUGUUUGGAGAAAUUUACCGUACCAUUCAGUAAUAUUUGUCAACUGCUUGGUGACUAUCUACCAAUUUGAGAAAAAUGAUCCAACAGUCAGCUGAUUAAUCUCAAAUCGCUAGAUAAUUGUUGGUUAGCGGUAUGGUAACUUUCUGAAAAUGGUCAGGUAAUUGCAACUGAAGUUUUCUCUCCGUGCAGUGAAAAAUUCGAAAAAAAAUUGGAAUAACGAAAUAUGGGAGAUAGUAUGGCACUAUUUCACGAUUAUUAUUGAUUUGAAAUUAAAAAAUUGGUGUAUGAAAUAAUCGAGUCAUGCAGGGGUCAAUUUGUUUUCGUUCAUUGCACCGUGUUCACUCGAUUAUUUUAUCACAGUUACUGAUUAAGGCAAUAUCUGUUUAUCGUUUGUGUUACAAUGUUGCCAUCGUUACCUCAGCAAACUGAUGUUCAAGUUAAGAUGAUUAUAUUUAAUAAUUGUUUCACGAAUAAUUGACAUACGCAAAAUCAUAAAAAUUUCCAUUGGAAUUGAAUGAAAAAAAAUUGAUAAAAAAUAACAACUAACGAAAUCAUUUUGGGUACAAUGUGAAUGAACAAAAUUUAUCGUAACAGAUACUAUUCAACCACAGAUUGUAAUAGUUUUCGAAAAUCGAAAUCAGUACUGGACUCUGUUACUGUUACUUUCCAACUGAUUUUGAUAUUCAGAAAUAAUGAAAUGGAAAAUAAUUUUUCAACGUUAUAAAUUACAAUUGUAAGCUUAAGAUAUUUUUGUACGGCUUCACCGUAUGUGCCUUGUAGGGUAAGCUUCUUGAUGUACUUUCCACAUGCUAUAUUUUAGGUAGAUUCGUCUAGGAUUGGAUUAAUGUAGGGUAAUUAUUAAAAAUAAGACUAGAAUUUAACAAGCUAUUUUACCCUGAGUGAACAUCGCGUGUAUACCUUAUAAAUAAAAACCAAUAAAACAUAAAAAAA